rnacentral:lncRNA from 1 species
UCGAGAUCAGCAGACGACAUUCAUCGACAAAAAUUCUUUUUCUUCGAGACGCUGUCCGAGAAGGUUACCUUAGCCAUUGGAUCAUGGCGGCUUUCUUUCCUGACGUUUUUCGUCAAUGCCUGGUGAAGUCUGAGCUUCUUCAUACAUUACGUGUACGUGAUCGCUGUCUUGUCAUGAAGAGGGUCUCCACUAAUUUGCAAGACAAUUAAGAUGAAAAGAGGAAAUUUGAAAAGGGUUCCUUGUUCGGUUUGAGCUGUUAAUGGUGUGUAUUGCAGUCAUUCCGUCGAGAGAUGCCCUGAGAUAACUACUAAGACUUCCCUCACAUCAUCGUCCUUUUAAAUGGAGAUGCUGUCCGAGAAGGCUUGGAUUGGCCAUUGCAGGCAAUUUUCUCUCGACAUUACAAGUUUUAGAAAUGUAAACUAAUGGGAUCAUGGUUUUUAACUUCUACUUGCAUGGUCAUAAGUAACAGUCUGGUGAAGUCCAAGCUUUUCAUUGCGCUUCGUGUACGUGAUCGCUGCCGUUUAAUGAAGGUUCUCUAAGUGGGUCUCCGGCCUCUUAGACUUGUUGCAGCGAGCUCUGGUGAAGGAUGUGGUGAGCUGUUGCAUGACGACCAUGUGCUGGUGUGGGGAAGUGCUGGAAUGUAUCUGUGGUUUCCAUUGUCAGUUAGAUGUAUGAGCUAAUUAUGUUGUUGCUCUGUGGUAUGCAGUUCAUGUUAAGGUGGUUUUGUUGCAGCCGCUGCUGCUGAAAGGGAGUCCAAGUCGAGUUGAGCUGCAGCUUUUGAAGCAGUUAACAAUGCUGAUGUUAUUCUGAAAUGUAACAUCAAUGAAGACAUCUUGAAAUGGUCUUGGUGAAGACGUCAUCAUCGAUCUUCUGCAUACAGUUUUUGUUAUCAAGAAGUGGAAGUAAGACUUGAAGCAAAGCUGCAAGAAAAUAAAUGGUAUCGACGUUAAUGUGCAGUGGUUUUACAGUCCGACUCCUGUUCAAACUGUUGCUUUCCUGAAUUUUGCCGGAGUCCUUGCAGUAGCUGAUCCUGAAGUUAUGAUGUCGGGGUUAUUCUGGAGUAGCUGUUGUUGAUGUCUUAAUUUACUGUGCAAGUUCAAUUCGGGUUGAUAAAAAUAUUAAUAUCCAUGUAGUAUGUGAUAUAGUAACCUUAAGCUAUUUUGUUAUCCAUUGUGGUAUGUUGUGAACUGAUCUUGGUCUAAACAUAAGUUGUGCUUCCUGAUAUUUCCCUCACCCAUAUUUAUCAAAUAACUCUUAAAUAAUGGGAUGUAAAAGAAAAGUUGAAAUUUUUCGUUGUGCGUUGGAAAUUUAUAUGAUAUAUUUUCCACAAUUACAUGUGAAAUGCCAAAAUAAAUAGAAAAACAAC